GAGACAAAUACAGGGAGAGUGAAAGCGUGAGACAUAGUGAGAGGUGCUGACCGGAGAGGAAGACAACCUGCCAGAUCUGGAUGGAUGGAGGUGCUCCAGUGACCGGUGGCGAUCGGAUCUAAGGUAGUUUACAGCGUGCGCCGAGGUUGUCGGUGUUGGUGGUGGUCGGUAAUGAGAUGUAUGUGUGCAGAUCUGUGAGGGCAACUGUGCGGUGGAGGCGUCGGCGUUUUCGGCAGCAGUUUCUUGAUGACGGUGUUGUAGUUGGUGGGUUAUGCUCGCAUUCCGUUUUUUCUCCGGCACGGUCGUGAUGUUGUUAAUGGAAUGUUAUUAGAACCGGUGGGAUUUUUGUACUAUGAAUCAAUUCCUUCCCCCUUUCUCUUCUUACAACUCCUUCUUUUAUAGUAGAAAUAUUAAGUUUGAGAAUUCAAUUUAAUUGAUUUCCGAUUGAUCUUCUAUGUGAUUUGAUUUCAUACCAAUUUAGAAUUGAUUUAGUAUUAUUAUGAUUAAUGAAUAUUUGACAUUUGGAUCUUG
rnacentral:lncRNA from 1 species